rnacentral:misc_RNA from 1 species
GAUGAAGAACGUAGUGAAAUGCGAUAAGUAAUGUGAAUUGCAGAAUUCAGUGAAUCAUCGAAUCUUUGAACGCACAUUGCGCCCGCCAGUAUUCUGGCGGGCAUGCCUGUUCGAGCGUCAUUUCAACCAUCAAGCCCCCGGCUUGUGUUGGGGACCUGCGGCUGCCGCAGGCCCUGAAAAGCAGUGGCGGGCUCGCUGUCACACCGAGCGUAGUAGCAUACAUCUCGCUCUGGGCGUGCUGCGGGUUCCGGCCGUUAAACCACCUUCAUAACCCAAGGUUGACCUCGGAUCAGGUAGGAAGACCCGCUGAACUUAAGCAUAUCAAUAAGCGGAGGA